rnacentral:misc_RNA from 1 species
GAUGAAGAACGUAGUGAAAUGCGAUACGUAAUGUGAAUUGCAGAAUUCAGUGAAUCAUCGAGUCUUUGAACGCACAUUGCGCCCCCUGGUAUUCCGGGGGGCAUGCCUGUCCGAGCGUCAUUGCUGCCCUCAAGCACGGCUUGUGUGUUGGGCCUCCGUCCUCCUCCCGGGGGACGGGCCCGAAAGGCAGCGGCGGCACCGCGUCCGGUCCUCGAGCGUAUGGGGCUUCGUCACCCGCUCUUGUAGGCCCGGCCGGCGCUUGCCGACACAUCAAUCUUGUUUCCAGGUUGACCUCGGAUCAGGUAGGGAUACCCGCUGAACUUAAGCAUAUCAAUAAGCGGAGGA